rnacentral:lncRNA from 1 species
AAAGGGAAAAAAAACAUAUACCAAUUUACACCAUAUUUUAUUGUGAGAGAUUCCAACAGGAAUGUAACAUCUAGACUCUCCACGUUCAGAGAGGUAUCCAGCGUCUUCAGCGGGUCUCAAGUUUCCAAUACUUCAGGGAGGAGUGGCUAACUUUUUUUUCGAAUUGUUAAUGUUUCGUAGUCUCAUUACAAGCUGUUGUCUUUCACCCUCUACUUCUGCAAACUUCAGACUUAUCUCCGAAUAUCUCUCUUGCAUAUCCUUCAAUUCACCUUCCAUUGAUUGAUUUCUCUCCUUCAGAGAUGCCAUUUCAUUUAAUAAUUCACUGAGGUUUCCUUGAUCUCGGGAAUCAGUAAUAGAUUUUUUCAGUUCAUUCUCUGAUGAAAUGUCACCGUCACUGCAUAGGUAAACAUGGGGAUUAGAAUACUAAAUGCAGUGUCAUAAAGAGGGAUUCAGGCUUGAAUUGUUUCAAGUCAUUCAAAC